GACGAACGCUGGCGGCGUGCCUAAUACAUGCAAGUCGAACGCUUCUUUUUCCACCGGAGCUUGCUCCACCGGAAAAAGAGGAGUGGCGAACGGGUGAGUAACACGUGGGUAACCUGCCCAUCAGAAGGGGAUAACACUUGGAAACAGGUGCUAAUACCGUAUAACAAUCGAAACCGCAUGGUUUUGAUUUGAAAGGCGCUUUCGGUUGUCGCUGAUGGAUGGACCCGCGGUGCAUUAGCUAGUUGGUGAGGUAACGGCUCACCACGGCCACGAUGCAUAGCCGACCUGAGAGGGUGAUCGGCCACAUUGGGACUGAGACACGGCCCAAACUCCGACGGGAGGCAGCAGUAGGGAAUCUUCGGCAAUGGACGAAAGUCUGACCGAGCAACGCCGCGUGAGUGAAGAAGGUUUUCGGAUCGUAAAACUCUGUUGUUAGAGAAGAACAAGGAUGAGAGUAACUGUUCAUCCCUUGACGGUAUCUAACCAGAAAGCCACGGCUAACUACGUGCCAGCCGCCGCAGUAA
rnacentral:rRNA from 1 species